CUAGAUGCCAGCUGAUACGAUAUUCAUUGAGUAUUUCCGACUGUGAGUAUGACUAUAGGCUUUAUCAGCAGCUGCUAUGCGAGUCUCUGGACAAGUAUCAUUCCUAGAGGCGUAAAUCAUUGAACUUCAACCAAUUGUGUAUGUUCCGUUGCUCAUUUUCCCAGCUGAGGGUGUCGUCUCGAAAACGAUAUUCAAGUUUCGUAUUCGGAUUGUGCUUUGGGCUGAUACUUUAUUUGAUUUUUGAAGCAACCGAAUCUCAUGUCRAGAUGGACUUGCUUGUAUGGACUUCGCAUGGGGUUUUAAAAGCAUUUGAAUUCACUGGCUUCUUCAAAUAACAAUCACGAAACCUAAUAUGCUACCAGUAAAAAAAACGUAGCCCAUAAUAAAGAGGAAUAAUUAUCGUAUCAAUAACUUAAUUUUGAAACUAGGAUUACAAAAGAUUAGCCAUUUGAAAUUCUCAUUCUUUGCAGAAUGUCAUAUUGCAAUGGAUGUCGUUUCCUUUUGGCCGGAAACAACUAAAAGGAACAAACCUUUGAAAUCUGAAUUUUGAAGAGAGAUACCACCAGUUUGAGCUUCCUACAGGUGGACAGAUUGUGGGUGAAAACUAUACCCUGUUCGUUCAUUUUCCAUUCGUUUUGAUCAAGAAAUACAUUAGAGUUUUAAAGGAUAGAAUGAAUAAUAAAAUGCUUUCUUAUUUGGUGUCAAAAAUUAAUCUUUCCAAAUCAAUGCAGUUAUCCUUUACCAGGAACUGAAAA